rnacentral:sRNA from 1 species
UGGAACCACAUAGCCUCGGAUUUACUG